rnacentral:rRNA from 1 species
UACGUAGGCAGCGAGCGUUGUUCGGAGUUACUGGGCGUAAAGCGUGCGUAGGCGGUUCUGCAAGUUUGGUGUGAAAUCUCCCGGCUUAACCGGGAGGGUGCGCCGAAAACUGCAAGGCUGGAGUAUGGGAGAGGUAGGCGGAAUUCCUGGUGUAGCGGUGAAAUGCGUAGAUAUCAGGAGGAACACCUGUGGUGUAGACGGCUUACUGGACCAUGACUGACGCUGAGGCACGAAAGCGUGGGUAGCAAACAGG